UACACAUGCAGUCGAACGAUGAAGCCCAGCUUGCUGNNGGGAUUAGUGGCGAACGGGUGAGUAACACGUGAGUAACCUGCCCUUGACUCUGGGAUAAGCCUGGGAACUGGGUCUAAUACCGGAUAGGAACGUCCACCGCAUGUGGGUGUUGGAAAGAUUUAUCGGUCAUGGAUGGACUCGCGGCCUAUCAGCUUGUUGGUGAGGUAAUGGCUCACCAAGGCGACGACGGGUAGCCGGCCUGAGAGGGUGACCGGCCACACUGGGACUGAGACACGGCCCAGACUCCUACGGGAGGCAGCAGUGGGGAAUAUUGCACAAUGGGCGAA
rnacentral:rRNA from 1 species